rnacentral:rRNA from 1 species
UACGAAGGGGGCUAGCGUUGUUCGGAUUUACUGGGCGUAAAGCGCACGUAGGCGGAUCGUUAAGUCGGGGGUGAAAUCCUGGAGCUCAACUCCAGAACUGCCUUCGAUACUGGCGAUCUUGAGUCCGGAAGAGGUGAGUGGAACUCCUAGUGUAGAGGUGGAAUUCGUAGAUAUUAGGAAGAACACCAGUGGCGAAGGCGGCUCACUGGACCAUUACUGACGCUGAUGCACGAAAGCUAGGGGAGCAAACAGG